CCGUGCAACCUUAACAGUCAAACAGUGCAAAUGGGCCCAAGGCCCAUAAUACAGGCACAUGUGGGCCCACACACCCAUGUAGCCUAUAAAGCCCAAAAAAUGGUAUUGGUCGUGUGGAGUACACAGCCUAGCCUAAUAUUCUCCACAGAUCCGUUUAGUUUACUAGUGUAGGGCCCACAAGUCUGUGGGUCCCACACAACCCGUUAAGCCCAAC
rnacentral:lncRNA from 1 species